rnacentral:rRNA from 1 species
UACAGAGGCCUCGAGCGUUAGGCGGAAUCACUGGGCUUAAAGCGUGUGUAGGCGGACUUCUAAGUGCCUUGUGAAAUCCCACGGCUCACCCGUGGAACUGCUGGGCAUACUGGGAGUCUUGAGCCACCUAGGGGCGAGCGGAACAAAUGGUGGAGCGGUGAAGUGCGUAGAUAUCAUUUGGAACGCCAACGGAGAAAUCAGCUCGCUGGGGGUGUGCUGACGCUGAGACACGAAAGCCAGGGGAGCGAACGGG